rnacentral:rRNA from 1 species
AAACUUUCAACAACGGAUCUCUUGGUUCUGGCAUCGAUGAAGAACGCAGCGAAAUGCGAUAAGUAAUGUGAAUUGCAGAAUUCAGUGAAUCAUCGAAUCUUUGAACGCACAUUGCGCCCUUUGGUAUUCC